ACGCUUUCGAGCCUCAGUGUCAGUAUGAUGCCAGGAAGCUGCCUUCGCCAUCGGUAUUCCUUCAGAUCUCUACGCAUUUCACCGCUACACCUGAAAUUCUACUUCCCUCUCACCUACUCUAGCCUAACAGUUUCAGAUGCAGUUCCCAGGUUAAGCCCGGGGAUUUCACAUCUGACUUAUCAAGCCACCUACGCUCGCUUUACGCCCAGUAAUUCCGAUUAACGCUUGCACCCUCUGUAUUACCGCGGCUGCUGGCACAGAGUUAGCCGGUGCUUAUUCUGCAGCUAAUGUCAUCGUCUCCGGGUAUUAACCGAAGAGUCUUCUUCACUGCUUAAAGUGCUUUACAACCAAAAGGCCUUCUUCACACACGCGGCAUGGCUGGAUCAGGGUUUCCCCCAUUGUCCAAUAUUCCCCACUGCUGCCUCCCGUAGGAGUCCGGGCCGUGUCUCAGUCCCGGUGUGGCUGAUCAUCCUCUCAGACCAGCUACAGAUCGUCGCCAUGGUAGGCCUUUACCCCACCAUCUAGCUAAUCCGACUUAGGCUCAUCUAAUAGCGAGAGCAGUAAACUGCCCCCUUUCUCCCGUAGGUCGUAUGCGGUAUUAAUACGAGUUUCCCCGUGCUAUCCCCCACUACUAGGUAGAUUCCUAAGUAUUACUCACCCGUCCGCCGCUCGACGCCUGGUAGCAAGCUACCAUCGUUUCCGCUCGACUUGCAUGUGUUAAGCCUGCCGCCAGCGUUCAAUCUGAGCCAGGAUCAAACUCU
rnacentral:rRNA from 1 species